GAGACAGAACGAGAGGUCUGUCGAUAUGUUUCUGUGUGUGCGUCUGCGGGAGACAGAAAGAGAGUUUCCCUGAGGCGUAUCUUUUACGCACACACACGCUGCAUAGGGCAGAGGCGGCUGAAGACUCUGUCUCCAUCCCUCCACCUUGCGAUCUAUACCACCAUAUAGGUGGGGAUUGAUCGUAUCCCAGGUAUGGCAUCCUGCAAUAAGCCAGUAUGGAAGGCUGGUUAGCCAACGACGGUUUGUAAUUCCAGCAAGAGAAACACAAAGUUCCAGGGCCAGAGGAGGAGCCAGAUGCAGACACGCCCGGAGCCGACCAACUACCCAAGGAUGAUGCAAUCAAAUUUCAGCAGGGUUUGAAUCAGUCCUGUUUUGGUGGUCCGCUAUUAACAAAAAUGUUGAUUGGAUAAAUAAUAUAUACUAUGAUCAGCAACGGUUUGUCAAUUUUUUCCACGGAUAAGGUCAAGGGACUAUAUAGAUAUAGAUAUGCUAUUGGCAGAGCAAGGAGGGGUGUGUGGGAUGAUAAGGACGACAUGUUGUACUUUUAUCCCCAAUAACACAGUACGGAUGGGUCGGUGGCCAGG
ensembl:lncRNA